rnacentral:tRNA from 1 species
GGAGGGGUUGCGGAGCGGCCGAACGCGGCGCACUCGAAAUGCGUUAGGCGGGUGACACCGCCUCGUGGGUUCAAAUCCCACCCCCUCCGCCA